CGAUCCCAGGACCCUGGGAUCAUGACCUGAGCAGAACGCAGACGCUUAACCAACUGAGGCACCCAGGCACCCCUAUAUUUUUACAUUUUAAAAUUAAGAUAUAUCUCUGGGAUGCCAUGAGCAUUGAAUAAGGUAUGUUAAAGAACUUUGACAAUUAUUUACCCCCAAGCAAAUAUAAGGUAUUUUAUUUUGUUUUGUUUUAUUUUAUUUUUUUGAGGAUGUGAUAAACAUUUAUUAAAAAGAGAUUUUGCAAAUUCUAGUUAGUAUCCCACAGAACAAGUUUUUGGUUAGCUGAGUAAGCAUACCCCAUUGUGCAAUUCUAGGUGACACACUGAAGGGUUGGAUUCCUGGCUCUGUCCAGGAACAUUCCAGUGUGGAUAAUGGGAGACCACAGAUGAAACUCUAAAGAUCUUGGCACAUAGUAUUCUGUUCAAAGAAUGAUAACACCUGACUUUCUAAGUUACACUGACAUGAUAGAUCUUAGACCUAAUUCUUUUUUUUUAAUUAACAUAUAAUGUAUUAUUUGUUUCAGGGGUACAGGUCUGUGAUUCAUUAGUCUUACACAAUUCACAAUUUACAUUUUUUUUGGUAAAGUAUUUAAAACUAUGAUUUCUUUUUACUUGCUCUGAGCUUCUCUUGAGGCCCUUCCUGACCCCGAGGCUGUCUGGAACUCACUGAGGUUGGGGACAGCUCUGCCUUGGGCAUCAUGAGUGGCACACUUUGGUCCAUCACCCAAAGGGCGCAGAGGGACUGAGGAGAUACUGACUCCCAGGUGGGCGUGUGAGGUCGGGAGACUUCAUGCUGGCCAGAAGCUCAAGUCCCUCGUGCGAGGGGAAACCGUCAGAUGCUGCUCCAAGGACAUAGCCUUGAGAGAGUGAUGUGGUGUUGAGACUCUGGACCAUGUAAAAGUGAACCCAGGGGAACAGCUUCAGAUUUCACCCAGGAAGAUCCCAAGGGGGUUUUGAACCAACAGUUGCUGAGCCAGCCAGCCAGCCAGGAGACUGAAGAGAUGGGCCUUGGGGGAAGAGGCAUCUGGAGAUCCUGAGUUGGCUGUUGGCAUGUAUGUGUGUGUGUGGGGGUGGCCCGUGUGUCAGCAGCUUGUGGACCCUUGUGCCCUGAAUAUGCCUGCUGCUUUGAUGUGCUUGUUUGAGAACUGCGCGCAGUGCACUGUGGCAAAGAGGAUCCCUGGGAAAGCGAGAAUGGACAGGAGGUGUCGUGGGGAUUGACAGGGAAACGGAUGAAACGUCCCAUGGCUUCCAGCUCCUCACACAAAGGAAAGCAAAGCACAGCAACGACUUCCCAAGCUAGCGGGGAGCCCCCAACUCAGGAAAUGCUCAUGACGGGAAACUAUGCGCUCACUGAGCUUACUUCCCACAAAAGGCCCAGAAAAGUCUCCAGGUGUGGUUCGUGCGGCUGUGGGAUACAGGAGCCACAGCGUGUCUCUGACCGGGCAGGAGCCCGAGAAAAUGAGCAGCAUCACGCACCCCCAGUCCCGCAUGGUCCCCGGCUACUGCCUGGUCCUCAGGGGGAUCCAAGAACCCCGUAUAGCUUGGAUUAUUCUAGCCUGCAGGGAGGGUCAGCCCAAUGAGGGGGAUCUCGCUGGGCACGUGGGACCCUGUGCAUCUCUAGAGGAGGAACAAGUUCCUAGGGGGCUGGAGACGGGCCGUCUAGACCCCUGGUGUUGAAGAGAAGAUGGGAGUCCUGGUCUGGCAUCUCUCUCCCUCGGUCCGUCUCCUCAUGCCUGACAGUGCUGUCUCCCCGGCCAACGACAUGUGCAGCCAGAAAGCCAGAAAACGAGCCACCUCCAUGCCAAAGAAACCCCUUGCUGACUGCUCAGAGCACACUGGGGGGGAAAUUAGAAGAGCCAGUGGAAUGUUGGAGGACGUUGUUAAGAGGACAUGACUGCGAGUUGACCCGUGAGCUUGACCUUGGCACUCAGAGGCUCCUUCCCCAUUCCCCUGUCUUUGGAAUAUAUUCUGCUUGCCUUUCCCACUCCCAGGAGCUGCCCUAGGGACACCUGCACGGUAUACGUGCCUGAACGCAGGUCAGGCCUUUAUAUACACUUGGAAGAUUUGGCACAUGGAUGUGAUCCACUUGUUUUGCAGCCGCUGAACACAGCCUCUUGUGUAAGUUCCCUUUGCUUAUUUGGCCUCUCCCUGCCUUCCAUGUGCAAGGGCUGGUUUCAGGUUUCGUCUGGGAAGCUCCUGAGGAGGUUACGAGCCAACAGCGACAGACUCACAGGAAGGGGAUUCUCCUCAAUAAAAUCACAUAUAACUUUAGUCACAUUAAUUCCUUUAGAAAAAAAAUUACAUAGAAUCAUAUAAUUUUACAGUAGGAAGUGGCAUUCAAAGUUGGAGGGGCGCCUGGGUGGCACAGCGGUUAAGCGUCUGCCUUUGGCUCAGGGCGUGAUCCCUGCGUUAUGGGAUCGAGCCCCACAUCAGGCUCCUCCACUAUGAGCCUGCUUCUUCCUCUCCCACUCCCCCUGCUUGUGUUCCCUCUCUGGCUGGCUGUCUCUAUCUCUGUAGAAUAAAUAAAUAAAAUCUUAAAAAAAAAAAAGAAUUCAGUUGGAGAUUUUGAGGGGAAAAUGGCAAUGGAAUGAUGUAAGAUAAGAGAGACUGGAAUAAAAGGGGACAGUGUAAAAUAGGACCAUGGGGGGUACUCAUGGUCUUCCACGCACUGAGGACAAGAAGAAUUAGAACUAGCCAUGACAGAGCGUAGCUGCCUGUCCCCAUGGUGUGGCUCAGAGAAUAUGCUGUCUUCCUCCUUGCACUCUGCCUGGUCUCAGAAACUCCCCCAAUUCACAGGAAUUUAUUUGUAAGAGUGCUCUGUGCCAACAGAAUGCCCCCCCUCCCAAGGCUUCCAAGCAGAGUGUGUGGAAUUCGGCAAGAACUCCCUGAGAGGGGUCAUUGCUCUCAGGAGAGGCCAGAAGGGGUGUUGGAGCAGGUGUUGUUAGGAAAGGGUCCAGGGAAUGGAAAUCACCCUUUCAUCAGAACCCACCUACUCGUCUUAGAACAGUCUCUCAACCUCUGCACUAUUGACAUUUGGGGUGAGAUAAGUGUUUAUUCUGGGGGGCCGAGCUGUGAUUGUCGUGUUCUUUGCAACAUCCCCACCUUU